UACGUAGGGUGCAAGCGUUAAUCGGAAUUACUGGGCGUAAAGCGUGCGCAGGCGGUUUUGUAAGACAGAGGUGAAAUCCCCGGGCUCAACCUGGGAACUGCCUUUACGACUGCAAGGCUGGAGUGCGGCAGAGGGGGAUGGAAUUCCACGUGUAGCAGUGAAAUGCGUAGAGAUGUGGAGGAACACCGAUGGCGAAGGCAGCCCCCUGGGUCGACACUGACGCUCAUGCACGAAAGCGUGGGGAGCAAACAGGA
rnacentral:rRNA from 1 species